rnacentral:rRNA from 1 species
AGCGAACGCUGGCGGCAGGCUUAACACAUGCAAGUCGAGCGGUCACUUUCGGGUGUCAGCGGCGGACGGGUGCGUAACGCGUGGGAACGUGCCCUCUGGUUCGGAAUAACUCAGGGAAACUUGAGCUAAUACCGGGUACGCCCUUUUGGGGAAAGGCUUUCUGGCGGAGGAUCGGGCCGCGUCUGAUUUGCUAGUUGGUGAGGUAACGGCUCACCAAGGCGACGAUCAGUAGCUGGUCUGAGAGGAUGAUCAGGCACACUGGGACUGAGACACGGCCCAGACUCCUACGGGAGGCAGCAGUGGGGAAUAUUGGACAAUGGGCGCAAGCCUGAUCCAGCCAUGCCGCGUGAGUGAUGAAGGCCUUAGGGUUGUAAAGCUCUUUUAUCCGGGACGAUAAUGACGGUACCGGAGGAAUAAGCCCCGGCUAACUUCGUG